GAUGAACGCUGGCGGCGUGCCUAAUACAUGCAAGUCGAGCGAACAGACGAGGAACUUGCUCCUCUGACGUUAGCGGCGGAAGGGUGAGUAACACGUGGAUAACCUACCUAUAAGACUGGGAUAAAUUCGGGAAACCGGAGCUAAUACCGGAUAAUAUAUUGAACCGCAUGGUUCAAUAGUGAAAGACGGUUUUGCUGUCACUUAUAGAUGGAUCCGCGCCGCAUUAGCUAGUUGGUAAGGUAACGGCUUACCAAGGCAACGAUGCGUAGCCGACCUGAGAGGGUGAUCGGCCACACUGGAACUGAGACACGGUCCAGACUCCUACGGGAGGCAGCAGUAGGGAAUCUUCCGCAAUGGGCGAAAGCCUGACGGAGCAACGCCGCGUGAGUGAUGAAGGUCUUCGGAUCGUAAAACUCUGUUAUUAGGGAAGAACAAAUGUGUAAGUAACUAUGCACGUCUUGACGGUACCUAAUCAGAAAGCCACGGCUAACUACGUG
rnacentral:rRNA from 1 species